rnacentral:rRNA from 1 species
GAUGAACGCUGGCGGCGUGCUUAACACAUGCAAGUCGAACGAUGAAGCCCAGCUUGCUGGGUGGAUUAGUGGCGAACGGGUGAGUAACACGUGAGUAACCUGCCCUUAACUCUGGGAUAAGCCUGGGAAACUGGGUCUAAUACCGGAUAGGAGCGUCCACCGCAUGGUGGGUGUUGGAAAGAUUUAUCGGUUUUGGAUGGACUCGCGGCCUAUCAGCUUGUUGGUGAGGUAAUGGCUCACCAAGGCGACGACGGGUAGCCGGCCUGAGAGGGUGACCGGCCACACUGGGACUGAGACACGGCCCAGACUCCUACGGGAGGCAGCAGUGGGGAAUAUUGCACAAUGGGCGCAAGCCUGAUGCAGCGACGCCGCGUGAGGGAUGACGGCCUUCGGGUUGUAAACCUCUUUCAGUAGGGAAGAAGCGAAAGUGACGGUACCUGCAGAAGAAGCACCAGCUAACUACGUG